CCCCUAAAGUCUUGUGAUGAUAAUUACAGAUAAAAGGAGGUCCAUUCCAGCAUCUAAUGAUGUCUAACCUUGAUUUUUCCACCUAUUCGAUGUACUUUGAAUGGAGAAUCUUCCGAUGCACUGCACUCUCUGAGUCAAAGGUUUGCCCUUGCUGCAGGAGCAUAUUCCGUAAUCUGAAGGCUUU